GUCUACGGCCAUGCCACCCUGAACAAGCCCGAUCUCAUCUGAUCUCGGAAGCUAAGCAGGGUUGGGCCUGGUUAGUACUUGGAUGGGAGACCACCUAGGAAGACCAGGUGCUGUAGGUG
rnacentral:rRNA from 1 species